rnacentral:lncRNA from 10 species
GAAGAGCAAAGAAUAAUAGCUGGACAGAAGAUGGGGGUCAUUGAACCUAUAUCCUAGUUGCCAGACCAGUAAACUGACCAUGGGACCUGGGGGAGGCAGCAGAUGACCGAAAACCUGGAGUGAUGUGGCUGAAUACCGCAUGAUCUGAAGACUGCACUGGUGGCUGCGAUAAAUGCAUGGGGGCAAGAUGGCAGAUAGGAGGCAGGACCAGCUUGCAGCUCCUGCUGAGAUGGACAGAGCAGCAUGUGGAGACUCGUACUGUAAACCUUUGCUCCAAGAAGUACUGCAGG